rnacentral:piRNA from 1 species
UGAUAACAAAGGCGAUAAUUGCGGGUGAU